UUCCGGUUGAUCCUGCCGGACCCCACUGCUAUCGAGGUGGGACUAAGCCAUGCUAGUUGAGCGCACAGAACUAUGUCUGUGAGCGGCACACUGCUCAGUAACACGUAGCUAACCUACCCUUAGGACGUGGACAACCCCGAGAAAUUGGGGCUAAUCCGCGAUAGAUGUAUUGUCCUGGAAUGGUAUUACGUCUAAAGGUAUCCCAUACAUGUUUGGUAUAUGCCUAAGGAUGGGGCUGCGGCCGAUCAGGCUGUUGGUGAGGUAAUGGCUCACCAAACCUUUGACCGGUACGGGCCAUGAGAGUGGUAGCCCGGAGAUGGACACUGAGACAAGGGUCCAGGCCCUACGGGGCGCAGCAGGCGCGAAACCUCCUCAAUGCACUUACGUGCGAAGGGGCUACCUCGAGUGCCAUCUGAUGAAGGUGGCUUUUCCUAGGUCUAAAAAGCCUUGGGAAUAAGAGGGGGGCAAGACUGGUGUCAGCCGCCGCGGUAACACCAGCCCCUCGAGUGGUGGGGAUGAUUAUUGGGCCUAAAGCGUCCGUAGCCUGCCGUGUAAGUUUCCCGUUAAAUCCAGCGUCUUAAGCGUUGGACCGCGGGAAAUACUGUACGGCUAGAGAGUGGGAGAGGUCAGCGGUAUUCUGGGGGUAGGGGCGAAAUCCUUUGAUCCCCGGAGGACCACCAGUGGCGAAGGCUGCUGUCUAGAACACGUCUGACGGUCAGGGACGAAAGCUGGGGUAGCGAACCGGAUUAGAUACCCGGGUAGUCCCAGCCGUAAACGAUGCAUGCUAGGUGUUGGGUUGGCCACGAGCCACCCCAGUGCCGCAGGGAAGCCGUUAAGCAUGCCGCCUGGGAAGUACGAUCGCAAGGUUGAAACUUAAAGGAAUUGGCGGGGGAGCACCACCAGGCGUGAAGCCUGCGGUUUAAUUGGAGUCAACGCCGGA
rnacentral:rRNA from 1 species